AACGAACGCUGGCGGCAUGCCUAACACAUGCAAGUCGAACGAGACGUUCGGGUCUAGUGGCGCACGGGUGCGUACCGCGUGGGAACCUGCCCUUAGGUUCCGAAUAACUCCCCGAAAGGGGUGCUAAUACCGGAUAAGGUCUUAGGACCAAAGAUUUAUUGCCUUGGGAUGGGCGCGCGUUGGUUUAGCCAGUUGGUAGUGUAAUAGCCUACCAACGCGACGAUCCAUAGCUGGUCUGAUAGGAUGCUCAGCCACACUGGGAAUGCGACACGGCCCAGACUCCUACGGGACGCAGCAGUGUGGAAUAUUGGAGAAGGGGGGAAGGUGUAGUACAGCAAUGCCGGGGAAGACAUGAAGGGCGUAGGGUUGUAAAGCUCUCUUACACGGGGUGAUAAUGACAGUACCGGGUGAAUAAGCACCGGCUAACUCCGUG
rnacentral:rRNA from 1 species